AUGUUCCAUCAUAAAACCGCAAUCUGUAGACAACUGCCGACUGUGACCCCCCAUCCGCCCACACGGCCAUCGCAUGCAAAAUCCAGUGGUGCACCAGGUCCAUCCACCACGAUUCCGCUCCAACCAUCAUUGCCGACCUUCCUCCACCAUUUUGCCUCCACUGUGAGGCUCCGAUCUGGACCGAAAUCAGCAGCAAUACUCACCAUAACCUCGACCAAAUCUCUCAGUGAAAUGGCCACGUUUUCACUGGCCAUUGGGCCACUGUGUUUGCACUAA